rnacentral:lncRNA from 1 species
UCCUAUGCUCUUCAAGAUCCUGAAGCAUCUACUAUCUAAAGUCAGUAAACAUAGCUCCUAUUCUCUCCAUAAUCUGCUCCACAACCCUUUUAGAACUGAAACCAUAAUGCAUAAAAGGGUGUGAGGAGAGACAGGAGCUCCAAGUAGAUGCUCCCCUACUACUGAUGCGUGGGUCAGUGCUGGUGCUGGUGAAGAAGGUCUGACAACUGGAGCU